CCUACGGGAGGCAGCAGUGAGGAAUAUUGGUCAAUGGACGCAAGUCUGAACCAGCCAUGCCGCGUGCAGGAAGACGGCUCUAUGAGUUGUAAACUGCUUUUGUACGAGGGUAAACGCAGAUACGCGUAUCUGUCUGAAAGUAUCGUACGAAUAAGGAUCGGCUAACUCCGUGCCAGCAGCCGCGGUAAUACGGAGGAUUCAAGCGUUAUCCGGAUUUAUUGGGUUUAAAGGGUGCGUAGGCGGUCGGAUAAGUUAGAGGUGAAAUCCCGGGGCUCAACUUCGGAAUUGCCUCUGAUACUGUUCGGCUUGAGAGUAGGGGAGGUAGGCGGAAUGCAUGGUGUAGCGGUGAAAUGCUUAGAGAUCAUACAGAACACCGAUUGCGAAGGCAGCUUACCAAGCGACUACUGACGUUGAGGCACGAAAGCGUGGGGAGCAAACAGGAUUAGAUACCCGGGUAGUC
rnacentral:rRNA from 1 species